GUGUGGAAGUAAAAAGUCGUAACAAGGUUUCCGUAGGUGA
rnacentral:rRNA from 1 species